GACGAACGCUGGCGGCGUGCUUAACACAUGCAAGUCGAACGGUAAGGCCCUUCGGGGUACACGAGUGGCGAACGGGUGAGUAACACGUGGGUGCUCUGCCCUGCACUUCGGGAUAAGCCUGGGAAACUGGGUCUAAUACCGGAUAGGACCACUGCCUGCCUGGGGGGUGGUGGAAAGCUUUUGCGGUGUGGGAUGGGCCCGCGGCCUAUCAGCUUGUUGGUGGGGUGAUGGCCUACCAAGGCGACGACGGGUAGCCGGCCUGAGAGGGUGACCGGCCACACUGGGACUGAGAUACGGCCCAGACUCCUACGGGAGGCAGCAGUGGGGAAUAUUGCACAAUGGGCGCAAGCCUGAUGCAGCGACGCCGCGUGAGGGAUGACGGCCUUCGGGUUGUAAACCUCUUCCAGCACCGACGAAGCGCAAGUGACGGUAGGUGCAGAAGAAGGACCGGCCAACUACGUGCCAGCCGCCGCCGUAA
rnacentral:rRNA from 1 species